GCUAGGAUUAGGGUCCCCGUCGAUGUCACCCAUUAGCCCGUCACCGCUGGCCGUCUAUUGUCGCCAUCUCCACUCGUCGCCAGAUCAUCGUUGUACGCCUCUACCUCGUCGUCUUCCCCGUCAUGGAGCGGCCAAGAAGAUUCGAAUUGAAGAACAAGCCCAGUGGAAAGAGGGUGCUGCUGCCAUCCUCGUUGGCUCUGGCGGAGCCACCGGCGAAGCUUGGCCACGAUGCAUCGCCAGCUCCUUCUUCUGCUGCCUCUGUAUCCGUGGUUUUGUGCCAUUUGCAAUCCAGGUGGAGUUGAGCACCAGCAAUUGCAAGGAAUUUAGUGGCUCGCUACAUAAUUACCAUAAGAUUGUAUAGACAAUGGUUUUAUCCAAUAUUUGGAACGAGUACUGCACCAACUGGACAACAUUCAUCCUCUAGUAUUUCUGGAUGCAGUCCAUCUGAGAGUGCUCUAGAUAUUGUUCACAUGCUCAAGGAAAUAGGUGAAUUAUGUAAUUUUCCGAGAAUAGAUGGUGAUGCUGCUACCUGCUAAAUUGUGCUUGUAUGUAUGAAUGAACUACUUGAUGAUGCUGCUGCCAGCUGCUGCUACUACUGCUAAAUUGUGUUUGUGUGUAUGUAUGAAAUGUACUUGUAUGAAUUGUUCUUGUACUA